rnacentral:rRNA from 1 species
UGGGGAAUUUUGGACAAUGGGCGAAAGCCUGAUCCAGCCAUGCCGCGUGCAGGAUGAAGGCCUUCGGGUUGUAAACUGCUUUUGUACGGAACGAAAAGACUCCUUCUAAUAAAGGGGGUCCAUGACGGUACCGUAAGAAUAAGCACCGGCUAACUACGUGCCAGCAGCCGCGGUAAUACGUAGGGUGCAAGCGUUAAUCGGAAUUACUGGGCGUAAAGCGUGCGCAGGCGGUUAUAUAAGACAGAUGUGAAAUCCCCGGGCUCAACCUGGGAACUGCAUUUGUGACCGUAUAGCUAGAGUACGGUAGAGGGGGAUGGAAUUCCGCGUGUAGCAGUGAAAUGCGUAGAUAUGCGGAGGAACACCGAUGGCGAAGGCAAUCCCCUGGACCUGUACUGACGCUCAUGCACGAAAGCGUGGGGAGCAAACA